GCCGCCGCCGCCGCCGCCGCCGCCGCUUCCUGGGCUGAGGCUGCCCGGGGUCCGGGCUGCGCCAGGUGCGUUCACUGUGCCCGGCUUCAGCCAGCGUCCACCGCCGCUGUAGCUUUCCCGGGCUCCCCGCCCCGCUGCCGAGAUGGCGACGCGCUCCUGCAGGGAAAAGGCUCAGAAGCUGAACGAACAGCAUCAGCUCAUCCUCUCCAAGCUUCUGAGAGAGGAGGACAAGUACUGCGCCGACUGCGAGGCCAAAAGUCCUCGAUGGGCUUCCUGGAAUAUUGGUGUGUUUAUUUGCAUCAAAUGUGCUGGAAUUCAUAGAAAUCUUGGGGUUCAUAUAUCCAGGGUCAAAUCAGUCAACCUAGACCAACCUAGAACAGCUACAGUGCAUGCAAGAUAUGGGAAAUACUAAAGCAAGACUACUCUACGAAGCCAAUCUUCCAGAGAACUUUCGAAGACCACAGAUCAAGCAGUGGAAUUUUUCAUCAGAGAUAAAUAUGAAAAGAAGAAAUACUACGAUAAAAAUGCUAUAGCUAUUCCAAAUCUAAAGAAGAAAGAAGAUCAGCAACUGGAGCCUAAAAAAAGUAGCAACCCUAAAAAACUGUGGAGCCCACUGUGGAUCUUUCAGGACUUGAUGGCCCUGCUGCAGCACCAGUGACUAAUGGGAACACCACAGUGCCAGCCCUCAAUGAUGAUCUGGACAUCUUUGGACCGAUGAUUUCUAAUCCCUUACCUGCAACUGUCAUGCCCCCAGCUCAGGGGACAUCCUCUGCAUCAGCAGCUGCAAGCCUGUCUACAGUAACAUCUGGGGAUCUGGAUCUAUUCACUGAGCAGACUACAAAAUCAGAAGAAGUGGCAAAGAAACAACUUUCCAAAGACUCCAUCUUAUCUCUGUAUAGCGCAGGAACCAUUCAACAGUAAAGUACUCCUGGUGUGUUUAUGGGACCCACAAAUAUACCAUUUACCUCACAAGGACCAGCUGCAUUUCAGGGUUUUCCAUCGAUGGGUGUACCUGUGGCUGCAGCUCCUGGCCCUAUAGGAAACGUGAUGGGGCAGAGUCCAAGCACGGUGGGCAUGCCCAUGCCCAAUGGGUUUAUGGGAAAUGCACAAACUGGUGUGAUGCCACUUCCUCAAAACGUUCUUGGCCCCCAAGGAGGAAUGGUGGGACAAAUGGGUGCACCCCAGAAUAAGUUUGGCCUGCCGCAAGCUCAGCAGCCCCAGUGGAGCCUCUCACAGAUGAAUCAACAAACGGCUGGCAUGAGUAUCAGUAGUGCAACCCCUACUCCGGGUUUUGGCCAGCACCCCAGCAUAACAGCAGGAUGGUCUGGAAGCUCAUCAGGUCAGACUCUCAGCACACAACUAUGGAAACGCAAACUGCGAUACAAGUUUCAUCCAGAACUACCACCUGACAUUUCUUGCUAAAAUGCAUCUAGUUCCCCUGUUUUUUCAUAUACAUUUUUUUUUUCUUUUUGCCCAUUUGUUCAUAUUAAGAAUGAUCUGAUUGACCGUGUUGGUCUGUACUGAUUAAAUUUGAUGUGGUGAAAAGCAGGUUGAUAAACCAUUUUAAUGUAAAGGGCGGCUUUGUUCAUAUUUCCCAUGAUUUCAUAUACUGCAUUAUUUGAGAAGCUGCUCAGUCAACUUACAAAAUCAGUUUUCCUCUCAAUAAAAUUAUAGCUCUAGUGUUUACAUAUAAGGGAAGUAGUUAUCAUGUUAGUAAUACCUCUAACACUAUAAACCCCAUCCCCAAAUUAGCCAGUAAUCCUGUAGGAAGGUACUGUAUGAUCAAAUGUUUAAUCAUAUAAAUAGAAUGUCAAUGUCUCACUGAGCACUGUUUUCUAGUGUAUCAAAAAUUCUUUUAUUUCAUCAUUCACUUCACUGUGCUGUUGUUAUGAUGUGCUUAACAGGGAAUGUGGUUAGUGAGAGGAAGAUAAACCUGGAUGUUACUCCGAAACUUAGUUUAAUGACUGUUUAAAGAACUCAAAUUUUAUCUGCCUUUCUUGUAAUCUGGAUCUCUUCUUAAUGUACAUGUGCUAACGUGAAGACCUUUUUCUGCUCUAUAUGCAAAUAGGGUAACUAAAACUAAGCCACUUUGAAUCCUUGAAGGUAUAUCCAGGUUUAUGACAGUAAUUGUGUUUACAUUUUAUGGUGCCUAGUAUUGAUAAAAUGUUAUUUCCCUAUAUUAAACAGACGAAUCCACUAAAAAAAAA